UACAGAGGUCUCGAGCGUUGUUCGGAUUCAUUGGGCGUAAAGGGCGCGUAGGCUGCGGGGCAAGUCGGGUGUGAAAUCUCAGAGCUCAACUCUGAAACUGCACUCGAUACUGCUUUGCUUGAGGACUGGAGAGGAGAUUGGAAUUCACGGUGUAGCAGUGAAAUGCGUAGAUAUCGUGAGGAAGACCAGUGGCGAAGGCGGAUCUCUGGACAGUUCCUGACGCUGAGGCACGAAGGCCAGGGGAGCAAACGGG
rnacentral:rRNA from 1 species